rnacentral:rRNA from 1 species
UACGAAGGGGGCUAGCGUUGCUCGGAAUCACUGGGCGUAAAGCGCACGUAGGCGGAUCUUUAAGUCAGGGGUGAAAUCCCAAGGCUCAACCUUGGAACUGCCUUUGAUACUGGGGAUCUCGAGUCCGGAAGAGGUUGGUGGAACUGCGAGUGUAGAGGUGAAAUUCGUAGAUAUUCGCAAGAACACCGGUGGCGAAGGCGGCCACCUGGACGGU